rnacentral:rRNA from 1 species
GCAGUCGAGCGGAGAGAGGUAGCUUGCUACUGAUACCUAGCGGCGGACGGGUGAGUAAUGCUUAGGAAUCUGCCUAUUAGUGGGGGACAACAUUUCGAAAGGAAUGCUAAUACCGCAUACGUCCUACGGGAGAAAGCAGGGGAUCUUCGGACCUUGCGCUAAUAGAUGAGCCUAAGUCGGAUUAGCUAGUUGGUGGGGUAAAGGCCUACCAAGGCGACGAUCUGUAGCGGGUCUGAGAGGAUGAUCCGCCACACUGGGACUGAGACACGGCCCAGACUCCUACGGGAGGCAGCAGUGGGGAAUAUUGGACAAUGGGCGCAAGCCUGAUCCAGCCAUGCCGCGUGUGUGAAGAAGGCCUUAUGGUUGUAAAGCACUUUAAGCGAGGAGGAGGCUACUUUAGUUAAUACCUAGAGAUAGUGGACGUUACUCGCAGAAUAAGCACCGGCUAACUCUGUGCCAGCAGCCGCGGUAAUACAGAGGGUGCAAGCGUUAAUCGGAUUUACUGGGCGUAAAGCGCGCGUAGGCGGCUAAUUAAGUCAAAUGUGAAAUCCCCGAGCUUAACUUGGGAAUUGCAUUCGAUACUGGUUAGCUAGAGUGUGGGAGAGGAUGGUAGAAUUCCAGGUGUAGCGGUGAAUUG